rnacentral:rRNA from 1 species
UGAGGGAAAGUUGCAAAGAACUUUGAAGAGAGAGUUCAAGAGUACGUGAAACUGCUCAGGGGCAAACGGGUGGGCCCUCGAAGUCCGUGCGGAGAGGGAUUCAGCCGCGAGCCCCGGGGGCUUCGUGCGUCGCAAGACACGGGACACCUGAAGGUGCCGCGACGCCGUUGCCGUCCCGGGGACGCGCGACGCAUUUUCCUCUCCCGUUGGACGCCGCAGCCGGUUGAUCCUCGUCGGCGGUCUAGUACCAGGAGGGUAGGUGGCGUGGACCUCGGUCUCGAACCGGGGUCCCGUGUCUGCCCCUCCAAUUGUACGUGCGCGACGAUCGACCGUGGGAACCGUCGACUUCGGUCGACGAAGCCGUGGCCUCGCCAAGAAGCGAGCGGAGGCGCCGGUCAGGUGCGAGGCGGCGCACCCCGUGUCACCGAGCGGUGGCCGGGGGCGUCGUCACCCCUGUUGGACCGGGUCGGACCGCGGAGCGAGCCUCGGGUUGGCGGCGAGUAGGUCGGUAACCCACCCGACCCGUCUUGAAACACGGACCAAGGAGUCUAACGUGUGCGCGAGUCAGUGAGACUCGGAUAAGCUCACGGGCAGAACGAAAGUGAAAGAGGUCGGGAUCCGGCACGAGAGUGUCGGCGCACCGACGGCCUGGCGCACCCCACGUGCUCGUGGAUGUUGCCGGCGCUGGAGCGUACGCGUUGGGACCCGAAAGAUGGUGAACUAUGCCCGGGCAGGUCGAAGCUAGAGGAAACUCUGGUGGAGGACCGCAGCGGUUCUGACGUGCAAAUCGAUCGUCGAACCUAGG